UGGGGAAUUUUGGACAAUGGGCGAAAGCCUGAUCCAGCAAUGCCGCGUGUGUGAAGAAGGCCUUCGGGUUGUAAAGCACUUUUGUCCGGAAAGAAAUCCUUGGCUCUAAUACAGUCGGGGGAUGACGGUACCGGAAGAAUAAGCACCGGCUAACUACGUGCCAGCAGCCGCGGUAAUACGUAGGGUGCAAGCGUUAAUCGGAAUUACUGGGCGUAAAGCGUGCGCAGGCGGUUUGCUAAGACCGAUGUGAAAUCCCCGGGCUCAACCUGGGAACUGCAUUGGUGACUGGCAGGCUAGAGUAUGGCAGAGGGGGGUAGAAUUCCACGUGUAGCAGUGAAAUGCGUAGAGAUGUGGAGGAAUACCGAUGGCGAAGGCAGCCCCCCUGGGCCAAUACUGACGCUCAUGCACGAAAGCGUGGGGAGCAAACAGGAUUAGAUACCCCUGGUAGUCCACGCCCCUAAACGAUGUCAACUAGUUGUUGGGGGAUUCAUUUCCUUAGUAACGUAGCUAACGCGUGAAGUUGACCGCCUGGGGAGUACGGUCGCAAGAUUAAAACUCAAAUGAAUUGACGGGGUCAAGCUGUUUCCU
rnacentral:rRNA from 1 species